rnacentral:tRNA from 1 species
AGGACGUUAGCUCAGCAAGAAGAGCAUCGGUCUCCAAAACCGAAGGUCGCAGGUUCAAGCCCUACACGUCCCGCUA